rnacentral:precursor_RNA from 1 species
GCUACCAUGUAAACAUGGAAAUCAUGCAACCAUCAGAAUAAAAGAACCUAUCAGAAGCACAUAUCAAAUCAUGCAACCAUCAGAAUAAAAGAUUUUUACAGUUCCAUCACCAUAGUCAUGUCAUUAAAAAGAGACAUAUCCUACAUAAACAUAUAUAUCAAGCCUAAACAAGUAGUAAACAUGUUUACACCCCAUGAGCAGCCAAGAAGCAAGAAGCAAUAGCCAGUACUACUGCCUCAAGCCCUUGAACACAAAAAGGCGAGAACUGGAUGCAGAGGUUUAUCGAUCGAUUCCCGCGUUGUCGUUGGCUGCAACAAGGACCAAAAAGAAGAAAAAAAAAGAACACCCUCUCAAAGAAAUUCGCCGCUCCUGGAUCAGCGCCACAAGGCAGGGAAGGGAUCGAUAAACCACUGCGCCCAGGCAUCACCACCAACCCCCCACCCCCACCUGCGAACAUGAUGGAUUAGCGCAAGAAACCGGAACAAAACAAGAACGGAACACAGAGCCACCUGCAAGAUCGGGCACGAACGAACACUCGUGGGUGUGAAUCUGUGUUUCUCGUGUGUGCAAUGAGGAAGG